GACGAACGCUGGCGGCGCGCCUAACACAUGCAAGUCGAGCGAGAACCAGUCCUCGGGACUGGGGACGAGCGGCGAACGGGUGAGUAACACGUGGGUAAUCUGCCCUCGGUUUCGGGAUAGCCCGGGGAAACCCGGAUUAAUACCGAAUGGCCUCUAGAGCUUUUGGGCUCGAGAGAAAAGGUAGCUUCGGCCUCUGACCGAGGAUGAGCCCGCGGCCGAUUAGCUAGUUGGUGGGGUAACGGCCCACCAAGGCGACGAUCGGUAGCUGGUCUGAGAGGACGAUCAGCCACACUGGGACUGAGACACGGCCCAGACUCCUACGGGAGGGCAGCAGGUGGGGAAUCUUGCGCAAUGGGCGAAAGCCUGACGCAGCGACGCCGCGUGCGGGAAGAAGGCC
rnacentral:rRNA from 1 species